CAAAAAAGAGUUCAAGAUGACUCAGAAGAUCAGAGCAAGGCUGAAUAGAUGAAUUAAGAGAUAAUGUUCUUAGGAGUAGUCAGAGGGCAAGCAAAAGAUUCAAAAGAGUUUUCAAUAAGACAUCGGCAAGUCUGAAAAUGAGAGCCUGCGUCACUCAUGGGGCAUACUUGUGUGAUGUGUGGGUUUCCCUACCCGAGAACUCAUAGAAUCACAGAGCUCAGAGUUAACGCCACAGGUCACAGGAGGCUCACCCUGGCUCCAGUGGGGAAGCCUUGGCCAUCAUUCAGAGUGAGAGACCUGGAGAAGCCCAGAGACUAAAUUAUGAAGUCCAACUCUGUGGAGGGCUUUGAAAACAGAGCCCUGACCAGUGCUGAAUUGACUUGAAGAAUGAUGAAGGGUUGGCUUCUCUCUCUCGGCAGCUGUGAGUUUGGUCAGCCCUUUGCAAAGUAAGAGGAAGUUUAAUGAACGCAAAUAAGACAUGAUCCUUUGUGGCUAUAAAAGUUACACUUUGAAAAAGCUCAGCUGGUCAAGAGCCACUUGAAAAUGAUGUUCCUGUGGGGGAACUCUGUCAAAAGUCCACUCCUCUUGACUUGCUGGUUAGCCUCUCUAAAACCACCCCUACUCCAAGGAAGGGGAAGAUGGAUCUCACUGAAGAGGUACAGUUGCAUCUUUGAACUGGCUGGUCAUUGCCUAGAUUGUGGCAACAACUCUUCAGGAUUGGAAGACGCACAAUUUGAAUAUUGGAACUUGAGGCCAAAAUCUAUUACUGGUAAUGUUGCUUUACAUCUUUCCUAUGAAUUAGUACAGAUUUUUCAAAAGAAACUCUAAGCAUGGCAAUGACAGUAAAGCAGAAUUUGCUGUAACUUUCCAAUUGCUGCUAGUUUCAAUAGUCAGUUCGCAACAUCCUUCUUUAUUCUUUUGGGUUGUUUUAUUCGAGCCUCUUUUUAUCUGCUUAUAAGAUAGACAUGGAUAGACACCUGGAAAUCAGUUAGCUUCAUCAUUUUGUGCAUGUAAAUGAUCACAUUAAGAUGAAUGCAAAUGUAUCUCACCAAACCUUUUCAGAAGCAUAAAUUUAAUUUUUAAAAAUUUUACAUAUAUGUG
rnacentral:lncRNA from 1 species